GGAUCAUUGCUGGAACACGUCCUACGGGCGUACCCAGAAACCCUUUGUGAACUUAUAAGACCCCAUCGUUGCCUCGGCAAGGCUGGGGGACGUCACGUCCCCCCCGCCCCCCUCCCGGCUCGCCGGGAGAAAGGCGGAGCAGGUCUGCCGGUGGCCCUUCUAUAAACUCUUGUUUACCUUACGUAUUACCUCUGAGUAUUAAACAAAAACAAAUGAAUCAAAACUUUCAACAACGGAUCUCUUGGUUCUGGCAUCGAUGAAGAACGCAGCGAAAUGCGAUAAGUAAUGUGAAUUGCAGAAUUCAGUGAAUCAUCGAAUCUUUGAACGCACAUUGCGCCCGCUGGAAUUCCGGCGGGCAUGCCUGUUCGAGCGUCAUUUCAACCCUCAAGCUCUGCUUGGUGUUGGGGCACAGCCUUUCAUAGGGCUGGCCCUGAAAUCCAGUGGCGGGCUCGCUAAGACUCCGAGCGUAGUAAUUUUCUCUUCGCUAUGGAAGGACUGGCGGUGCUCUUGCCGUAAAACCCCCCCAAUUUUUUUACUGGUUGACCUCGGAUCAGGUAGGAAUACCCGCUGAACUUAAGCAUAUCAAUAAGCGGAGGAAAAGAAACCAACAGGGAUUGCCCUAGUAACGGCGAGUGAAGCGGCAACAGCUCAAAUUUGAAAUCUGGCUUCGGCCCGAGUUGUAAUUUGCAGAGGAUGCUUUUGGUGCGGUGCCUUCCGAGUUCCCUGGAACGGGACGCCACAGAGGGUGAGAGCCCCGUAUGGUCGGACACCAAUCCUGUGUAAAGCUCCUUCGACGAGUCGAGUAGUUUGGGAAUGCUGCUCUAAAUGGGAGGUAAAUCUCUUCUAAAGCUAAAUACCGGCCAGAGACCGAUAGCGCACAAGUAGAGUGAUCGAAAGAUGAAAAGCACCUUGAAAAGGGGGUUAAACAGUACGUGAAAUUGUUGAAAGGGAAGCACUUGUGACCAGACUUGGGCCGGGCGGCUCAUCAGGGGUUCUCCCCUGUGCAUUCCGCCCGGUACAGGCCAGCAUCGGUUCUUACCGGGGGAUAAGAACGGCAGGAACGUGGCUCCCUCUCGGGGGAGUGUUAUAGCCUGCCGUACGAUACCCUGGCGGGGACCGAGGUCGCGCUCC
rnacentral:rRNA from 1 species